rnacentral:rRNA from 1 species
UAGUGCCUACGGGACGCAGCAGUGGGGGAUAUUGCACAAUGGGGGAAACCCUGAUGCAGCGACGCCGCGUGGGUGAAGAAGCGCCUCGGCGCGUAAAGCCCUGUCAGCAGGGAAGAAAAUGACGGUACCUGAAGAAGAAGCCCCGGCUAACUACGUGCCAGCAGCCGCGGUAAUACGUAGGGGGCAAGCGUUAUCCGGAUUUACUGGGUGUAAAGGGUGCGUAGGCGGCCCUGCAAGUCAGAAGUGAAAUCCAUGGGCUUAACCCGUGAACUGCUUUUGAAACUGCAGGACUUGAGUGGAUUAGG